rnacentral:pre_miRNA from 1 species
AAAGUACUCCCUCCGUCCCAAAAUUCUUGUCUUAGAUUUGUCUAGAUACGGAUGUAUCAAGUCACAUUUUAGUAUUAGAUACAUCUGUAUCUAGACAAAUCUAAGACAAGAAAUUUGGGANCUGUAUCUA